GCAUGGGCAAUCUGUGAUGCACUCACGAGGCGUAAACUUACGUGAAAAUAAAUAAUUUGUUAAGCUCAUCGUAUCCGGAGAACGUUAACAUUUUUAGAUAAUUUUGAUAUAUUUCAACGGUAACCUCGCAUUACUACGUGUCUUCUAUUUUGGACAAUACGUACAAAAUGAGAAGGUCAAGGAAAAACUUAAUUUUUGAUUCCUUGCAUAAAAGUGUGGUAUCGGUAUGUGUAGCAUUUACAGCUGUAGGAACGGUAUUUCUUAUAUAUCAAGGGUAUCAGUACAUAACGCAUAUUCGCCCGAUGCAUCAAGAAGCGCUAGUUAAAUAUGAACAAGAGUUGCUUAAAGAAGGUAAACCCAUAGGAGAUACCAAAGCUACAUCUAAGUCAUAGUUUACGUUCCAUCGGGAUUUGUAUAUUAUAAAUAAAUUUAGUUACAUAUGUAUUUAACAACAAUGUUAUGUAUCGUAAUAAAUAUUCAGGCUUUUUGUUUUGAAAGUAUAGCCUAAUAGUCGUAACGA